ensembl:lncRNA
AAAUGACAUGUAACUAGAAACAAUUAAUAGCCGUCUUCAGGGUGAUACUGAAAUAAUGAGAUGAUCAUCAACGUGAACAGAAUAACAUGAAAAUAUGCUUUAAUAAUAUUCCAUUACAAAUUUUGACACACUAUAGCUUGAGCUUGAGCUUGAGAAAAAACAAUCAAAAUACCAAGUGAUAAAAAAUUGUGAAAUUGAAAUCUACCGUUAACACUCAUCUAGCAUGUGGGCAAGGAAGUUACUGAUCAAGAUAAAUCGCCAGUUUUGAACCAUGCAAUACACAAACUACAGAGAAGAAAUGUUCUAUAACGAAUAACGUAUUUGGGCAGCGUAAUGCGCACGGGCUGCACUUUUUCCACAUAAUCAAAUCGUCGUUGAAAGGCAAUGUAUCUUGCUUCCAGGAGAUAAAAAAGAGUAAAUUCAGCCUUUGUGCAUUCAGACAUUUAACACGUUUAAACAACGGUACUGCAUACUGCAGUGCUCGCGGCGGGGCACCAACAGGUUCGUCUUCUCGCGCCGGGCUGUGCGACCCAACAGGCGCGAAAAAACGCCUUUAUUCAUUCAGUGAAUCUGAAGUGCGCUCAUAUAACAAUUUGACAGCGGUUGAAACAUGGAUCACAUCAUCAUGCAUUAACGAAGCAAAGGUAGCUCUCGAGGUAACUCCAAGGACUUACCAUAACGCGCGGCAACCCUGUCACUUCUUCCCCGGACCCGGUUGCCUCUCAAAUGAAGCCCCAGCGGUGUGAAUGCGAAUGGGAUUGCAAGAACCCACGGCGAUGCUCCUGUGCGGUGGGCUCGUUCUGUUCCUCUAGAUGAUGACCACAAACUGAGUCACUGCCCUCCUCUCCUCUCCUCUCCGUUUCUUCCCGCACGCAGCCUGCCAACUUUCCCGCUGCUCUCUCGCCUCCUUCGGUGCAGAGGUGAAGUUUCCGUGUCUCCUAAAAUGACUCUCUGCGCUUUCUCUCAGGCUUAGAGGAUCAUCUGUCAUCUCUCCAGAUGAUUGGAUUAGUGCGUCAUGCACAGCACAUAUCCGUGUACUACUGUAGCCC